CAGAAGCUCGGGGAAUGGAAACGAAUCUUCUCGGAACGGUUAAUAUCAUGUAUGACGGGCAUGGUAUAUUAUUUGUGAGCUUGUCUGCAACAAAGUAAUUGCCAUUACGGACACAAGUUUUUGGAAUGCUUAAUUUUUGGGAACUUGUAGAAGGAACUUGAACGUGCAUGCUUUCCGGACUGUGCCCUUUCUCCAUCUGCUUCGAAGAAGUAAUGACCUUGCAUGAGGACCGGUGGAGCUAUUCAGGAGGGCAACCUGCCAAAGCCAUCACCAGCAAUCAGCGACAUCGCGCCUGACAAAAGUUUUUCAAAUAAAAUAUUUCCACCCAAACGUCACUGCUGGUGCUGAGCUCGCGCGAUCGAAUGUGAAGUUUUUUUGGUGAUCUCAAUGAAAAAGGAUUUUUUUGAACUCACGCUGUACACAACAACAAGCUAUCUGAUCUGCAUGUCUUUUUCGGUGGAGGUGAUUUUUGUUGUUGUUAUUGUUGUGGCUGGCGACGAGAAGGCUCUCAUUUACGCUAGGUAUCUCAUAGACAGAAUGAGCCUGGUUUUUACGCCAAGCUGAUGUUUUCAGCAGCAGUCCGCUGUGGAGAAAAUUCAAGCAGUCUUAGGGGCCUGAAGUUUUUGCUGCUUCUUACCGGAUCGACAGUGGGAAAGAAGGGUGGCAGCGUGCAGUACCUUGUGAAAUGGAGAGACUUUAUCCUCUAUGAGCUUGGGAGUAUGAAGAUAUCAGAUAUCAGUGACGAUCUAUCAGGUGAUUUCAUUUCAUUUUGGGUGAAUUUAUUGAAUGUAUUCUUCAAUGCAUGAAUUUGAAAAUCUCCCUUUUGUUUGCUGUAGAUAUUUUGAUGGUUCGGGGAAUGUUGGGCCCUUUCUCAGAUGACGAAUGUUUGAGGCUGCUGAUGGAGCUUGCACUGCUGUGCAGUGAAAAAUAGAAGUGAAAUAGUCACAAAAGGCACAAUGGAGUUUUACGUGUAAUAGUGCUCCACAUUAUUGUGUCGAGCCCUCUCCGCUGGCAGAAGGAAGUUUUCCUCCUUGAAACGAAAUAGUCUAUUCCUGACUUUCGAAUCAGAAACUGGACAAAGGGGGUUGGGACCGAAGAAUUUCCCUGUGAAGUUCUUUCCUCCAGGUUGGGAUGCUUGCAUGAACGUACAUGGACAAGGCCCACGGGCUCACUACCUGAUUACCUUGACAGGAGGGGAUCGUGCUGCCCGGCAGUUUGUCUCUUCCGCAGAAAAGGGCAUUGAUUAAUCAUGAGCUUACCGCAGAGCACAACGAAAGCAUUGUAGCAUGAAACUAAUUUGUCUGAAUACAAAUCUGCACAAUGGCACAGACGGCUAAUGGAGGUAAAGCAUAGCAUCACCAGCAUUGUAUUCCUGGAAGCAGUGCAAGUUAUAGAUUUAGGUAUCAAUAUUUAUCUAAGCUUUAGCGAAGUCCGGACGCAGUACAUUACUAGUGUGAAAGAUAGAAGAAAAAGCAAUGAUAUCCGUAUAUACCCGGAAAGAGAGGUGAGAGUGGGUGGGAGUAAGUGAAAGCACUUGUACAAGCUAAACAUCUGUGCAACCGGAAAGAGCAGAGAAAAGACUAAAGCAAUUACACAGGCCAUGCGUUUAGCAGUGAGACCCAAACAUCCUUGUAAACCAGAAUGCAGCUUCAGCACACAUUUUCUAUUUCUUCAUGUUGCGCUGCUGUUGCCGUUUCCCAACGAUAUGAUGAGGCUCUCCGUUAUGCUUCUGCUGGUUUUCCUGUGCAGGUAUGUGCUGCCGUAGCUCAGAGAAAUCUUUGGCCAGGGUAGCCAAGAUGGCAUCACCCACAUCCUCCUCUCCUUCAGGUUCACUUGUAGGUUUGGCAUUCAUGCUUGACAUCUCCUUCAGUACUGUGUAGGUCCUCUCCUAUUGGUUUUUGUCUGCCCAUACCAUUUGCACUGCUCAGUGAUGUCGGCGACAGUCGCCUCCAGCUCACCAUUUUCCAUUUUUUCUUUACUUUUUGGAUACGCUGUGUGUCCUUGAGGUAGCAUUUGAGGCCGACCAGUUCUUCUACCUUUGUUUUGCAAACAUUCUUGUCUAGUGUUCAGUGAUCGAACCCAGUCAACGUUGAAGCACCCUUGUUAUUUCUUUCCGUUUCUUUUUAUUCUUGUACACCGCUGCCUGCAACCGUGCAUUUUAAUAGGUUUGCGAGAAUCUCUUUUCACCUGCAGCAACCAGAGUUUGAAAGUACCGACACAAACUGGAAGCAUGCCCAGUUUCCAGACAACUAGCUGCUUCAAAAAUUCUUAUGUCAGAUGAGUGACUGGUUGCGCAGCCGACAUUAUGGUGACAUAAUGUGUCCUUGUAGUUCUGUUUAUUAUUACUUGUAUAUUUCACUGUUCGCGUCAAACUCGGCUAAAGGCCGAGUUUUCCGCAUCCGUAGGAACGCCACCACCCUUCAAGGAUCGUGUGUUUUUUUAUAGCAAUGUAUUUUGGUAUUUGCUUUGACCAUCAGUCCUUGGCUGAUGCUGGUCAUACCUUCAACAUGUUGACGCGUUUUUCAAGGCAUUCAAUAUACGUAGGCCGCAAGAUUCUAUCUUUUCAUACCGAAUACCGAUGGCUAUUGUAGUGCUUCCCCACUAGCUGCGCAAGUGUCACAUCUGGCUGCGGCCAACUACCCUUUAA